GUUGGUUUGAAUUUGUUUUAGAUAAAUUUAUUUGGCCUUUCUUACUUUAUGGUUCGAGCAUCAUUAACGAGUCUUUCGGUGUAAAACGAACUGCACGUCUGGCAGAAUAAAAUAGAAAUCCUGGUAUCUAUGAUUAGUUUAUUUCAUAUAGGAUCAGCAAAACCGAUAUACCAAAUGUCGACAUCAGAGUGAACAUGUUUAAAUUA
rnacentral:lncRNA from 1 species